GAUGAACGCUGGCGGCGUGCUUAACACAUGCAAGUCGAACGGGACUUGUUAAGUUGAAACUUCGGUCGAUUCUUUUCAAGUCUAGUGGCGGACGGGUGAGUAACGCGUGGGUAACCUGCCUCACACUGGGGGAUAACCGGAAGAAAUUCCGACUAAUUCCGCGUAACACCUCAGGGAGGCAUCUUCCCGAGGUCAAAGGAGCAAUCCGGUGGCGGAUGGGCAUGCGGCGCAUUAGCUAGUCGGCGGGGUAACGGCCCACCGAGGCGACGAUGCGUAGGGGUUCUGAGAGGAAGGUCCCCCACACUGGUACUGAGACACGGACCAG
rnacentral:rRNA from 1 species